rnacentral:rRNA from 1 species
UACGAAGGGGGCUAGCGUUGUUCGGAAUUACUGGGCGUAAAGCGCGUGUAGGCGGGUCUUUAAGUCAGGGGUGAAAUGCCAAGGCUCAACCUUGGAACUGCCUUUGAUACUGAAGAUCUUGAGUCCGGGAGAGGUGAGUGGAACUGCGAGUGUAGAGGUGAAAUUCGUAGAUAUUCGCAAGAACACCAGUGGCGAAGGCGGCUCACUGGCCCGGUACUGACGCUGAGGCACGAAAGCGUGGGGAGCAAACAGG